CGCGGGAUGGAGCAGUUUGGUAGCUCGUCGGGCUCAUAACCCGAAGGUCAUAGGUUCAAAUCCUAUUCCCGCAA
rnacentral:tRNA from 1 species